rnacentral:rRNA from 1 species
CUGCCUACGGGAGGCAGCAGUGGGGAAUAUUGCACAAUGGGGGAAACCCUGAUGCAGCGACGCCGCGUGAGUGAAGAAGUAAUUCGUUAUGUAAAGCUCUAUCAGCAGGGAAGAAAAUGACGGUACCUGAGUAAGAAGCCCCGGCUAACUACGUGCCAGCAGCCGCGGUAAUACGGAGGAUGCGAGCGUUAUCCGGAUUUAUUGGGUUUAAAGGGUGCGCAGGCGGUCUGUUAAGUCAGCGGUCAAAGCCCGGGGCUCAACCCCGGCCCGCCGUUGAAACUGGCAGUCUCGAGUUGGAGAGAAGG